rnacentral:rRNA from 1 species
UACGGGGGGGGCAAGCGUUAUUCGGAAUUAUUGGGCGUAAAGGGCGCGUAGGCGGCCUGGCAAGUGGAUGGUGAAAUCCCUCGGCUUAACCGAGGAACUGCCAUCCAGACUGCUUGGCUUGAGACCGGGAGAGGUGAGUGGAAUUCCCAGUGUAGCGGUGAAAUGCGUAGAUAUUGGGAGGAACACCAGUGGCGAAGGCGGCUCACUGGACCGGUACUGACGCUGAUGCGCGAAAGCGUGGGGAGCAAACGGG